AGAGUUUGAUCAUGGCUCAGAGCGAACGCUGGCGGCAGGCCUAACACAUGCAAGUCGAACGAACUCUUCGGAGUUAGUGGCGGACGGGUGAGUAACACGUGGGAACGUGCCUUUAGGUUCGGAAUAACUCAGGGAAACUUGUGCUAAUACCGAAUGUGCCCUUCGGGGGAAAGAUUUAUCGCCUUUAGAGCGGCCCGCGUCUGAUUAGCUAGUUGGUGAGGUAAAGGCUCACCAAGGCGACGAUCAGUAGCUGGUCUGAGAGGAUGAUCAGCCACAUUGGGACUGAGACACGGCCCAAACUCCUACGGGAGGCAGCAGUGGGGAAUCUUGCGCAAUGGGGCGAAAGCCUGACGCAGCCAUGCCGCGUGAAUGAUGAAGGUCUUAGGAUUGUAAAAUUCUUUCACCGGGGACGAUAAUGACGGUACCCGGAGAAGAAGCCCCGGCUAACUUCGUG
rnacentral:rRNA from 1 species